GAUGAACGCUGGCGGCGUGCCUAACACAUGCAAGUCGAGCGAUUCUYUUYGGAGAAGAGCGGCGGACGGGUGAGUAACGCGUGGGUAACCUACCCUGUACACACGGAUAACAUACCGAAAGGUAUGCUAAUACGGGAUGAUAUAUAGAAAUCGCAUGAUUUUUAUAUCAAAGAUUUAUCGGUACAGGAUGGACCCGCGUMUGAUUAGCUUGUUGGCGGGGUAMCGGCCCACCAAGGCGACGAUCAGUAGCCGACCUGAGAGGGUGAUCGGCCACAUUGGAACUGAGACACGGUCCAAACUCCUACGGGAGGCAGCAGUGGGGAAUAUUGCACAAUGGGCGCAAGCCKGAUGCAGCAACGCCGCGUGAGCGAUGAAGGCCUUCGGGUCGUAAAGCUYUGUCCUCAAGGAAGAUA
rnacentral:rRNA from 1 species